CCCUUAGAUGUUCUGGGCCGCACGCGCGCUACACUGACUGGUUCAUCGAGCUUACAACCUUGACUGAUAGGUCUGGGUAAUCUUUUGAAAGCCAGUCGUGCUGGGGAUAGACUGUUGUAAUUUUCAGUCUUCAACGAGGAAUUCCUAGUAAACGCGAGUCAUCAACUCGCAUUGAUUACGUCCCUGCCCUUUGUACACACCGCCCGUCGCUACUACCGAUUGAAUGGCUUAGUGAGCCUUUGGGAUUGGCAGCUUGUACCGGCAACGGUAGCCGGCCGCUGAAAACUUAGGCAAACUUGGUCAUUUAGAGGAAGUAAAAGUCGUAACA
rnacentral:rRNA from 1 species